rnacentral:rRNA from 1 species
GACGAACGCUGGCGGCGUGCCUAACACAUGCAAGUCGAGCGAGUGGAGUUCUUCGGAACAAAGCUAGCGGCGGACGGGUGAGUAACACGUGGGCAACCUGCCUCAUAGAGGGGAAUAGCCUCCCGAAAGGGAGAUUAAUACCGCAUAAGAUUGUAGCUUCGCAUGAAGUAGCAAUUAAAGGAGCAAUCCGCUAUGAGAUGGGCCCGCGGCGCAUUAGCUAGUUGGUGAGGUAACGGCUCACCAAGGCGACGAUGCGUAGCCGACCUGAGAGGGUGAUCGGCCACAUUGGGACUGAGACACGGCCCAGACUCCUACGGGAGGCAGCAGUGGGGAAUAUUGCACAAUGGGGGAAACCCUGAUGCAGCAACGCCGCGUGAGUGAUGACGGCCUUCGGGUUGUAAAGCUCUGUCUUCAGGGACGAUAAUGACGGUACCUGAGGAGGAAGCCACGGCUAACUACGUGCCAGCCGCCGCGGUAAUAC